CUCUAAGUGUAAAUCAUUUAAUUUUCUUCCUAUACAAGCAAAAAACAAGUUGAAUACAAAAAAAAAUUCUCAAAAUGUAUAAAGACUCCAAAAAUUAAAUAACUCAGAAUAAAACUUGUUAAGAGUGAAGUAGUUUGUUUGGGUUCCUAUAAAAACUUAGGACUACAUAGACACAUUUUUCUGUAUACAAUAAUGAUAGAAAACAACAUAUAAGACUUGGUAUAGCUGUCUAUAGGGCCUUAGGGGGCAAGUUCCACAAGUGAUUGUCUGAAUAGAACCAAAAGUUGCAAAAAUGUCCAUCACUUUAAUGUGUGACUAUUUUCAGAUAAGGUUUUUAAAACACUUAGCCUAUUUAGAAACACAUCUAGAUCUAGUGUUACAGUG